GUUUAACCCCCUCCCCUACUA
rnacentral:tRNA from 14 species